rnacentral:rRNA from 1 species
AUUGAACGCUGGCGGCAUGCCUUACACAUGCAAGUCGAACGGCAGCGGACCUUCGGGUGCCGGCGAGUGGCGAACGGGUGAGUAAUAUAUCGGAACGUACCUUUCAGUGGGGGAUAACGUAGCGAAAGUUACGCUAAUACCGCAUAUUCUGUGAGCAGGAAAGCAGGGGAUCGCAAGACCUUGCGCUGAUUGAGCGGCCGAUAUCAGAUUAGCUAGUUGGUGAGGUAAAGGCUCACCAAGGCGACGAUCUGUAGCGGGUCUGAGAGGAUGAUCCGCCACACUGGAACUGAGACACGGUCCAGACUCCUACGGGAGGCAGCAGUGGGGGAAUUUUUGGACAAUGGGCGGCAGGCCUGAUCCAGCCAUGCCGCGUGAGUGAAGAAGGCCUCG